UACGUAGGGGGCAAGCGUUGUCCGGAUUUAUUGGGCGUAAAGAGCGUGUAGGCGGCUUUGCAAGUCCGUUGUGAAAACUCGAGCUCAACCUCGAGACGCGGUGGAAACUGCAAAGCUAGAGUCCGGAAGAGGAGAGUGGAAUUCCUGGUGUAGCGGUGAAAUGCGCAGAUAUCAGGAAGAACACCCGGUGGCGAAGGCGGGCUC
rnacentral:rRNA from 1 species